rnacentral:rRNA from 1 species
GACGAACGCUGGCGGCGUGCUUAACACAUGCAAGUCGAACGAAGAGCGAUGGACGCUUGCUUCUAUCAAUCUUAGUGGCGAACGGGUGCGUAACGCGAAAUCAACCUGCCCUUCAGAGGGGGACAACAGUUGGUAACGACUGCUAAUACCGCAUUCGCUCUAAUCUCGGCAUCGAGGAAAGAUUAAAGGUGGCCUCUACAUGUAAGCUAUCACUGAAGGAGGGGAUUGUGUUUGCUUAGCUAGUGGGAGGGGUAACGGCCCACCCAGGCGAUGAUCAGUAGCCGGUCUGAGAGGAUGAACGGCCACAUUGGGACUGAGACACGGCCCAGACUCCUACGGGAGGCAGCAGUGGGGAAUCUUCCGCAAUGGACGAAAGUCUGACCGAGCAACGCCGCGUGAGUGAUGACGGCCUUCGGGUUGUAAAGCUCUGUUAAUAGGGACGAAAGGCCUUCUGGCGAAUAGUGAGAAGGAGUGACGGUAUCGGAAUAGAAAGCCACGGCUAACUACGUG